GACGAACGCUGGCGGCGUGCUUAACACAUGCAAGUCGAACGGAAAGGCCCUGCUUUUGUGGGGUGCUCGAGUGGCGAACGGGUGAGUAACACGUGAGUAACCUGCCCUUGACUUUGGGAUAACUUCAGGAAACUGGGGCUAAUACCGGAUAGGAGCUCCUGCUGCAUGGUGGGGGUUGGAAAGUUUCGGCGGUUGGGGAUGGACUCGCGGCUUAUCAGCUUGUUGGUGGGGUAGUGGCUUACCAAGGCUUUGACGGGUAGCCGGCCUGAGAGGGUGACCGGCACCAUGUGGAUGCACACCCGCCCAGUCUUCCUACGGCAGGCAGCUGUGGGUACUUUUUCGCCUUGGGCCGAACCCUGAGGCAGCACCGCCGCCUGCGUGGUGCCUCCCUUUGGUUUGUCCUCCCCUUCCGCCUGGGACGAGGAGUGCUUGCCGGUAAUGGGUAAGAACGCCCCGGCCACCUCCGUCCCAGCCGCCGCGUUAAUUAUCGGAAGAGCACACAUCCUACC
rnacentral:rRNA from 1 species